GGGUGAGUAACGCGUGAGUAACCUGCCCUGGAGUGGGGGACAACAGUUGGAAACGACUGCUAAUACCGCAUAAGCCCACGGAUCCGCAUGGAUCUGCGGGAAAAGGAUUUAUUCGCUUCAGGAUGGACUCGCGUCCAAUUAGCUAGUUGGUGAGGUAACGGCCCACCAAGGCGACGAUUGGUAGCCGGACUGAGAGGUUGAACGGCCACAUUGGGACUGAGACACGGCCCAGACUCCUACGGGAGGCAGCAGUGGGGGAUAUUGCACAAUGGGGGAAACCCUGAUGCAGCGACGCCGCGUGGAGGAAGAAGGUUUUCGGAUUGUAAACUCCUGUCGUUAGGGACGAUAAUGACGGUACCUAACAAGAAAGCACCGGCUAACUACGUGCCAGCAACCGCGGUAAAACGUAGGGUGCAAGCGUUGUCCGGAAUUACUGGGUGUAAAGGGAGCGCAGGCGGACCGGCAAGUUGGAAGUGAAAACUAUGGGCUCAACCCAUAAAUUGCUUUCAAAACUGCUGGCCUUGAGUAGUGCAGAGGUAGGUGGAAUUCCCGGUGUAGCGGUGGAAUGCGUAGAUAUCGGGAGGAACACCAGUGGCGAAGGCGACCUACUGGGCACCAACUGACGCUGAGGCUCGAAAGCAUGGGUAGCA
rnacentral:rRNA from 1 species